UCUUUCUCUUCCUCCUUCUUCAUGGAGAUGAGGUCCUCUGUGUCUUUGGUGUAGUUCGGCCUCCAUUUUUCGCUGGGGUAGCCCACCGCUGUUCCUUCAUAUCUCCCUCCUUCUUUUAAGCAAGGGUUCUCUCUAGCUUUUUACGGAGUUGUGGUAGCAUAAAAGGGCCAUCGAGAAGGUUCUCUUCUUUCUUGUCAGGUCUCGAAUGGUCGGACCUUAAUUGGUAU
rnacentral:lncRNA from 1 species